CGAGUUGUUGCCAUAGAAACCAGAAGACAAUCAGGAUCCUCAGUUUCCCAGCACUGUGGUGUGUACUUAGAUAAACUAGAUGAUUUUGACCUGAGGAUAAAGGUCAUGAGAAGCCAGAUAAGGCAAGUUCUUGUGCGAGUCAUUCAGCAGAUGUGAAGAUGUUCCUGUCUUUCUGAAGUUUAACAGGCGCUGCGCUGCGGUGUUGAUACGUUUACCUGAGACGGACACGCAGCCCGACGGCAGGAAAGGGAGUCGUAACAGGAGAGAGCAGAAAAGUUAUCACCAUCCUGUCUGAAUCUGCGCAUUAUUCAUCCUCACCUCCUCCUAAGCCCAGCGGCAGAGAUGAAAAUGAGAACUGUUUUCUGCUUCUUCAGUCAGGAGUUUUGCACACACACACGCACACACACACACACACACACACACACACACUCACACACACACACACACACACACACACACACACACAGGAUCCAGCUCAGGCUCUACAGUCGGUCUCUGAUGAUUUUGUGGCGCCACCAUUUGGCUGUUUUCAUCCUGACGCAGGUCCACCGAAUAAAAUCCAACAUUACAAUGUAUAGAGCAGGCUAGCUAGCUAUAGACUAGUUAGCUAAGAUUAGCGGUGCAUUGUACCAGGAAGACUUCACACAACAAAACAAACAGGGAGGAAAAGUAGUAGUUUAAGUGUUUCAGGUAAAGUUUUGUUCCUCUUAUACCACACACUCUGACACUGGAGACUCCUUCUGCUGAGGAUUAAACAAUCUGCUAAGAGAACCCUCCAAGAACCUUCAAUGGACCAUCAACCACACAUCCACAUCCAUCAUUAAAACAACAAGAUGUCUCGAGAUCAACCGAGUUCACUGAUUUAUUUGUGAAAUGAAUGUUAAAGAGAUUUUAAUUUGAAUAUGGGAUUGAAGCUAAUGGUAUAUCGGUUAGUGAAAAUAAAUCAUGCUAAUUUAGUUUAGUUGAAGUAAAUGAUGUUAGAAAAUGUGAUUAGCAAGAGUUAUAUUUCAUCUCAACAUACUAAGGAAUGUUAUCUACUGUAACAGAUGCUAGUCUAACAUGGUAUCAGUGAAAUAAACUAGCUAGCAGUUAAAUAUAACAGCUAUUGUUAGCAAAUUAGCAAAGAAUAUUCUUCAAAUUUAAACCGCUGCCGAGCCAAUUACAUUAGCUUCUGUCUAAUAUGGUAUUAUCCAAAAAGGCAAAUUGUUAUUUAUUUAAGUGUUUAUUUAAGCAAAUUAAAUUAGCAAAACUUACCUCAGCUAUUACAUGAAGAUGAAGUCUUUGUUUACUCAAUCAGAUUGGUAUUAGCAAAAUAAAUAAAUA